rnacentral:lncRNA from 1 species
UUGUUAGGCAACAUUGGUAGUGGGUCGAGUGUAGGUGCCAUCAACAAAGCUGAUUUUAUUUUUAGCCGACAAGGCAAGAAGAACUUUUCAUCUCCAGCCCCCAAAACCACUACCCGAGAAUGGGAUGGGAACAAGUGGUACCCCAGGGACAUCAGACGAGUACAGGAAAAGGGGACUAGAGGAAUCUACAGGAGUAGAAGCACCAGUACUUGUGCUAGAAGCCAUAAUGAACCGGCUUAGACAAAUAACUUGUCAACAAACAGGAUGCUAU